GGACGAACGCUGGCGGCGUGCUUAACACAUGCAAGUUGAACGGAGGUUACGUUUUCGGAUGUAGCCUUAGUAGCGGACGGGUGAGUAACGCGUGAGCAACCAACCUUUGUGAGGGGGACAACAGCUGGAAACGGCUGCUAAUACCGCAUGAGGCCACGGUGUCGAGUGACACUGAGGUAAAAGAAAUUCGCACAAAGACGGGCUCGCGUCCCAUUAGCUAGUUGGUGAGGUAACGGCUCACCAAGGCGACGAUGGGUAGCCGACCUGAGAGGGUGAUCGGCCACACUGGAACUGAGACACGGUCCAGACUCCUACGGGAGGCAGCAGUGGGGAAUAUUGGGCAAUGGGCGCAAGCCUGACCCAGCAACGCCGCGUGAGGGAAGAAGGUCUUCGGAUUGUAAACCUCUGUCCUUGGGGACGAAAAAAAUGACGGUACCCGAGGAGGAAGCUCCGGCUAACUACGUGCCAGCAGCCGCGGUAAUACGUAGGGAGCGAGCGUUGUCCGGAAUUACUGGGCGUAAAGGGUGCGUAGGCGGUAUGGCAAGUCAGAUGUGAAAUCCCCGGGCUUAACUCGGGUGGUGCAUUUGAAACUGCUGUACUUGAGUGCAGGAGAGGAAAGCGGAAUUCCUAGUGUAGCGGUGAAAUGCGUAGAUAUUAGAGGAACACCAGUGGCGAAGCGGCUUUCUGGACUGUAACUGACGCUGAGGCACGAAAGCGUGGGGAGCAAACAGGAUUAGAUACCCUGGUAGUCCACGCUGUAAACGAUGGAUACUAGGUGUGGGGGAGAUACAACCUCCGUGCCGGAGCAAACGCAAUAAGUAUCCCGCCGGGGAGUACGGCCGCAAGGCUGAAACUCAAAGGAAUUGACGGGGGCCCGCACAAGCGGUGGAGCACGUGGUUUAAUUCGAUGCAAACCGAAGAACCUUACCUGGGUUUGACAUGUACGUAGUACGGAACUGAAAGGUGAAGGACCCUCAUUUCGGUGAGGGAGCGUGCACAGGUGCUGCAUGGCUGUCGUCAGCUCGUGUCGUGAGAUGUUGGGUUAAGUCCCGCAACGAGCGCAACCCCUGCGCCGAGUUGCCAACGCUAUGGGCGGGAACUCUCGGCGGACUGCCGGCGACAAGCCGGAGGAAGGUGGGGAUGACGUCCAGUCAUCAUGGCCCUUAUGUCCAGGGCGACACACGUGCUACAAUGGGCGGCACAACGGGAAGCGAAGGGGCGACCCUGAGCGGAUCCUAAGAAAGCCGUUCCCAGUUCGGAUUGGAGUCUGCAACCCGACUCCAUGAAGCUGGAAUCGCUAGUAAUCGCGGAUCAGCCAAGCCGCGGUGAAUACGUUCCCGGGCCU
rnacentral:rRNA from 1 species